ACCCAGGCACCCCUAGUCUUCAUUUAUCUUUUAAUUUUACUUGUGGUAAUUUUUUUGCCAUACAAAAAUGUUUAAUUGUCCAAAUUUUAAUCAUUUCCUGUAUGACUUCUAGGUUUUAUGCCUUUGCUGGGAAAAUUUAUAAAAUAGUUUCCUGUGUUUUCUUCUAGGGCUUUUGUGUUUAGAUAUUUAAUCCAUUGAAAUCCAUUGAAAUUUGUUUUUGCUUAAUGGUAUGAGGAAGAAAACCUUUUUUUCUUUUCCUAAAGAAUAUCCAGUUGUUUCCAAACUAUUUCUUUUCCGUACUAUCUUUUGCCACUCAUUUCAAAUGCCAGCUUAAUAUAAAUGGCCAUAUCUCUUUGAAUCUCUUUCUCUGUACCUUGUUCAGAUAACAUAUUAUUUUAAUUAUUAUAAUUAAAUAGAAUGAUAUAUUUAUAUUAUUAUAAUAUAUUUUGCAUCUGGAAGGAAGGAAAAAAUAUUACUUACUUAAAUGAAAUUGUUGGGUAUGAUUUUAACGCAUGGUUUGAGAGAGUCCAGAAAAGUUGUACCAGCUUAUAUACUCACUAGCAGUAUAUGCAAAUACUUAUUUCACUAAUACCGUACAUAUGUAUUACAUAUGGUUUACAUAUAUUUUUUAAGUUGCCAAUGUGAUCGAUGAAAAAUAGUAUCUGAAAACUUUAUUGUACAUAUCCUUGAUUACUAGGAGCGCUGAAUGCUUUUUAUUCAGUUAUGCAGUUUUACAACGUUUUUCAAUAUUUUCAGUCAGUUAAAUGUGCUCAUGUUUCAAUAACAGCUUGCCUUAACUAUAGAGAGCAUAGUGGUUGAUCCAGGAGCAGGAUAAUUCUGAAACCAAGAACUGAAGAAACCCCCUUCCUACCACUAGGGCAUCAAAGACAGUAGUAGCUAACCUUUAUUCAGCUCUGUUCUGAAAGCUUUAUAUUCCAUGGCUUAUUAAAUCCCCCUUGCACCACUGUGAGGGAGGCAUUAUGUCAAACCCCACUUUCUAAUGAAAAACAGGGGCUCAGGCUGAUACACAAUUUGUCAAGGCUACAUAGCUAGUAAGUGUCUGGGCCAGGGUGUGAACACAGGUAGUGUGACUUUGGAGUCCCAGUGCUUCCGCCAGAGGGUCUCCUGAAUUUGCCGUAAUUUCUCCAGGACAGCCAUGGGCACUUGCUGAAGGAGUCUGUCCCAGAGUCAGGACAGCAAAGACAGAAACAGUUGCCCAUCCUUUUAAAAAGGUAGGGCGUUAUGAGGUGCCUGUGUGGCUCAGUCAGCUGAGCAGGUAAGCAGCUGACUUUGGCUCAGGUCAUGAUCUCACAGUUCGUGAGUUCAAGCCCGCACUGGGCUCUCUGCGCAGAGCCUGCAUUUUAAAAUGCCCAAAAUGCCAUGGAGGCAUAGCGUAAGUUUCUUGUGAAAAGUAGUAACAUUCUUGGUCUCUGUGAGAAGGCAUCCUCAUCUGGAAGGGGCAGGUGGUAAUCACUGUAGUUAUUUAUUUUUUUUUAAAAGUGCAGAGUAGAGUGUUACUGCUUUAUCUGAUUUCAUUCGUUGAUUUUUAAGCUGUAAUGUGGUGGAUGAAGAGCUGAUCCUAGAAUUAGAAGCAUUAGUUCUGUCAUUUCCUUAACUAGUUUUAUCUUUUAUCCACAUAUACUGAUUUUGUGAAGUGAAAACUAGUUAAAUUUUAACUAUGCCGUGUAACUAUCUGAAUAAAAAAUAGGCAGGUGGAAGUUUCCUUUUGGCUUCCAUAGUUGGCUAAAUGAAGAGGAAGAAAGGGUUUGGUUGCGUUCGGGUUAUCCCUCUUUUCUUCCUAGUUUGCCAUCUAAAGUUUAGGGGUAGUUGGGGGAAGUGGAGGGAAAGAAAACAAAUCUAAAACUAAGUAAUUGAUAACAAGCAAGUCUUAUGUGUGCAGAUGGUGCCUUGUGCAUGUGUCUAGAGUAGGGCUGGAAGUAUCUGCUUCUGUAUCCACCUGUAUGAGUAAUAUAGGAAUCAUAUAUUGUAUGAUUAUAAUUAUAUGAUCAUUAUAACAUUGAUCAGUGCCCUCUCCUAAUUCACAGGCAGCUGGAUUUAUGAGAUGACAUCUUAGAGGAGAGUUUGGAACCACAGAUCUUCUUGCCAAAAUCCUGGGUCGCCCUUAGUUCUCUUACCUGAACAGAUGGCCUACUACAACAGUUACUUACACCAAGCUCCUAGAAAUAAUCCCCGUUAUUGUGACACUCAGGAGAUCUCCAGAUACUGUUGAUUCUGUCUCAAAAAUGCACCUUGAUUCCUCAUUUUCUCCUUCUGUGCUGACAUCAUCUUCAAACUAGAAUCUCUUGCCUGGGCUUGUUUUCAUUAGCUUCCUAACUGGGCUCACCAGUUCUGUCCCCACCCCGCUCCCCCAUCAGUGUAUUCAUUCAGUAGCCUAAAUGAUCUAUUAAAUUAAAAAAAUAAUUUUGGAGUAAUUUAAGACCUAUAGAAAAGGACAAAAAUACUGCAAAGUGUUCCCGUGUAUUCUUUACCCUUCUUCCCCUAAUGUUAAUAUCUUACAUGGCCAAUGAUAGAAGCCAGGAAGUUAACACUGAUGUAGUACUAUUAACUAAGCUAACAAACCUUACUCAGUUUUCACCGGUUUUCCCAAAUAAUGUUUCUGGUCCAGGAACCAGUACAGGACCUCUCAUUACAUUUUGUUGUCCUAUCUCUUUAGCCUCCUGCAAUUUAUGAUGGGUCCUCAGUCUCUCUUUGACUUUCUUGACAUUUUUGAAACGUACUUGUCAGUUCUUUGGUAGAAUGUUCCCCAGUUUAGGUUUGUUUGUUGUUUUCUAUGAUUAGAUUGAGGGUUAUGCAUUUUUGGCAAGAAUGGUCACCAAAAUCAUGUUGUGUUCUUCACAGUACAUCUGUGAAGGGGGGCUAAAUGUCUUGUUACACAUAUUAGGUCUUGUCACAAACCUUCAGUGGUUUUCCAUUUCUCUGAGAGUAACAUGCAAACUCUUCAAAGACCCUGCCCAAUCUAGCCCUUACUUUAAUUCAUGCCUCAUGGAAGGGCGAAAACAAAUGAAAAAUCGGGGCUUGAUUCUCAGUGUUGAAAAUAAGGGAAGAGAUGUCUUUCCCCUCCCUAAUCUUAGAACAUUUACUUUAGAAACCUUGUAAGGUCUUUUGCUCUCUGCUUGAAAUGUAUGUAAAUCUUUGUGAAAGCUAAAAUAGACUCUUGCCAUCUUGAGGACCCAGGACUGUGUUUCUCAGGGACCUGGGAACCAUCUCUUUGAAAUGUCACCAUUAAGGAAGAUAGAGCCUCUAACUACCUCCCAGUGUCUGUGGGAGGAUAGAACCUCGCUGUAGCGGGUGCCUUAUUCCAAGCUAUAAAGCUACCUCUUGUUAUAAAGAGAAGUUUAUUUUUCCUUUGAAUAAAACCAAUUAGUGAACACAGAUGGUCACCCCAACUACUGAGUAAAUUUAGGAACAACUGUGUGACAAAUGGUGCUGUCAAGUCCUCUUACAUGACUAGUUGUUUCUCCUGAGAACGUGUAUGUAGUGCGUUGUGUCUACUUGGCUACGUAAAGGGAUGAGACGUCUUUCAGUCUUUGGAAUCUCUUGAUGGAUCGCUUGUGAUGGGUGUCACAUUUUGGCUUAAUGCUUCUUCAGUAAUAAAACUGUUUCUUUCUCAUCUACAUUUGUGGAGAGGUUUCCUGGUUGGAGAGAUUCUGUUUUUAUUUCUAUUUCCCCAACACUCCUCUCCAUUAACUCACUCUGGCUUUCUUUCCUGUCUUGAAAAAUGCCAAGCUGUUACCUGCUUGAAUUUCUGCUUGAAACCCUCCACCUUCCUGUACCUCUUUAUAAAAGUGGUUCUUUCCAUUCUUGACUGAGCUCAUAUAUAAUAUCCCUAAAGAGGCCCUUCUGACUACCCUACGGAAGCCACUCCUUCCAUGGACUGUCUAUCACAUCAUCCUGUGUAUAUCUUACAGAGUACUGAACACAAUCAGUACUUACUAUGUUUAUUGAUUGGUUGACUUUUUCAUAGUGUUUCCCUCUACUAGAGUAUAAAGCAAAAGGAGGGAGAGAUUCUCCUCACCCCUAAUCAGUCUGUCUGGUUCAUAGCUGAGUCCCCUAUACCUAGAACAGUGUCUGGCACCUAAUAGGUAUUCAAUGAAUAUUUGUGGAACAGAAUUAAUAAGAUGGGCAUGAUCAACAGAUUAGGGUGGUUAUAUAAUGAAGAUGUACAUCUGCUUUUCUCGCAUUUCUUUUCAACUUGUAGAGAAAUCUUAACAGACUGGUUUUAGCAGUGUUUGUAUUUGUUGAGCAUCUAAAAUGAUUAUAUGGACGAAGGAAUACAUGAAUACACCUUCAUACUUGAAUAAAAAUAGGCAUAAAUCCUUGUUUUUCAAAUAGGAAAAUCUACAAUGUUUAAAAAAAAAACAACCACUCAAAUAUUUUAGGAAAGCUUUCAUGUUAAUUUUGGCUACAGCUGGGGCUAUUUGAAUUGUAGCGCUAACUAAUUGGCCGGUGUGAACAUCAAUUAGUCCUGAAUAAAGAGCAGGAGAGGAAUGCCAAGAGGGAGGAAGUGAGAUUCGGAUCUGUAGCAAGUCUUCUGGGAAUCUUCACAUCCUCAUAGAGGAAGCCUUAGGGGUUAUGCUGACAUUUGAAGGAAGGCUUAACAUAGUGUUUCUCAAACUUGAGCAUGCAUUGGAGGGCUUUUUUAGCCCUGGUUGCUAGGCCCCACCCUCAAAGUUUCUGAUUUGGUAGGCCUGGAAAGGGGCCCACGAAUUUGCAUUUCUAACAAAUUUUCAAGGGAUGCUGCUGCUGCUGGUCCAGGCCCUGUGUUUUGAGAAUCAUUGCUUUAAAGUGUUGCUUGGCGAGAAGAAUUGAUGGAGUUUGUUUGUAACAAUCUUUUGGGAGUUGAUAAUGCCUUAAAAAAAUUGAACAAAUGUUACAUUCUUUUUAGUUGCCAAGAAAAAGGGUCUCUUUUUGCAUGUUCGUCUUUUUAGGCCCCCAUGUCUAUAUUUGGGUUCCUACUUAUUGAGUAUGUACUAGCUAUAUGCAUCUUUUCAAUUAAUCGUUAUAAUUAUGUACAGAGUUAAAUAUUAUUAUCUCUAUUUUACGCAGGAAGAAUUUAGGCUUCAGGAUGGUUUGAUUGCUGCCCAGUUGUUCAAACCUAGUUAGAGAUAAAGCUGGAAUUUCAACAGGGCCAUCUGACUUCAGGAUGAAGCCUCUUUUCACUAUGCUGCUUCUCAGCCAGAAAAAUUCAGACUAAUUUUAAUUUAAGACUAAGUGAUAACACCUUGAGGUGUUACACAGCUGAGGAGGAAAUUACUCAUUAGCUUGAGGUGAGCCUGAUCUGAUAUAGAAGGUUGGUUAAGAUAAAAAAAAAAAAAAAAAAAAAAGAGUUCCAAUGUGAAGUACAGCAUCUAG